rnacentral:rRNA from 1 species
UACGAAGGACCCAAGCGUUAUCCGGAUUAUUGGGUUUAAAGGGUGCGUAGGCGGAUUGUUAAGUCAGUGGUGAAAGCUCCGAGCCCAACUCGGAAACUGCCAUUGAUACUGAUGAUCUUGAGUACAUUUGAGGUGGGCGGAAUGUGUCAUGUAGCGGUGAAAUGCUUAGAGAUGACACAGAACACCGAUUGCGAAGGCAGCUCACUAAACUGUAACUGACGCUGAGGCACGAAAGCGUGGGGAGCAAACAGG